GGAGAUAAGAAUAUUAUUGUUUAAUUAUUUACAUGUGUGUUUUUAAAAGUGUAUAUAUAAACUUAUUAUGUUCAUAUUGUUUUUUGUGUUUAUUCAUGCCGAUAUGGAAUAUUUUGUUCAUAGGUGUGUUUCGUGUGUGCACAACAAAACAGCUUGCACUAAUAUGUGCGUAAUACUUUAUGCAGGUAAAGAAUGUAUGGAGAAGCACAUUUUAAGACAAUGGUGACUUCGACCCCCGAUGUUCACUCCACGGAUACAUCAGCAGAUAGAGGGACUCCAAGUAGACAAUGAUCAUCUUCAAGGACUAAAUUAUAAUUUGGAAGCACACAAUGCAAAUCUCCAAACAGAAAGAGCACAACCGUUUCCGGGAAAGCAUCCACGCGCUGAAGCAAAUUCUGACUAACCACGGCAUACCAAGCAGACAAUGAUCAUCUGAAUUUCCACCCGAUAUAUGAAAAGUUUAGGAAAAUCAAAAUUGAAAAGAUGAGAAUGCAAUCUGUGUUUAAAUUUAUAUAGAGAUAUAUGCAAUACCAUAUUAGGGAGCAUAGCCUUUAUAAGGGUCCUAAUUGAUCGUAAUCAUGUUCCUUUACAAAAAGUUCUUGCUAUUGAUCAACAAAUUGAUGUACUGCAUCAACAAAUAGAGGGACUCCAAGCAGACAAUGAUCAUCUUGAAUGACUAAAUUAUAAUUUGGGAGCACACAAUGCAAAUCUCCAAGCCCAAAGAGCACAAUUCCAUCACAGAGAGGCUCGUCUCCGGGAAAGUAUCCAGGCGCUAAAGCAAAUUCUGAUUAACCACGGCAUUGAAUUUCCACCCGAUAUAUGGAGGGGCACGUCUCCGGGAAAGCAUCCAGGCACUGAAGCAAAUUCUGACUAACCUCGGCAUUGAAUUUCCACCCAAUAUAUGAAAAGUGUAGGUAACUUAGGUAAAACUUCAAACUUCUUAUUGUCUUUUUUUUUUAAGGAAAAACAAUAUUUAUGUGUUUAAAUCGGUAGAUACAAAACAGUGUCUUUUUUUUUUUUUGAAGGAAAAUCAAAAUUGAAAAGAUGAGAAUGCAAUCUGUGUUUAAAUAUAUAUUGAGAUAUAAUAUAGAUUGGAGAUGCUUGUCA